UACGUAGGGGGCAAGCGUUGUCCGGAUUCAUUGGGCGUAAAGCGCGUGUAGGCGGUUCGGUAAGUCCGCUGUGAAAGUCGGGGGCUCAACCCUCGGAUGCCGGUGGAUACUGUCGAGCUUGAGUACGGAAGAGGCGAGUGGAAUUCCUGGUGUAGCGGUGAAAUGCGCAGAUAUCAGGAGGAACACCAAUUGCGAAGGCAGCUCGCUGGGACGUUACUGACGCUGAGACGCGAAAGCGUGGGGAGCAAACAGG
rnacentral:rRNA from 1 species